rnacentral:rRNA from 1 species
CCUACGGGAGGCUGCAGUGGGGGAUAUUGCACAAUGGGGGAAACCCUGAUGCAGCGACGCCGCGUGUGGGAAGACGGUCCUCUGGAUUGUAAACCACUGUCCCCAGGGUCGAAGAUGACGGUACCUGGGGAGGAAGCUCCGGCAAACUACGUGCCAGCAGCCGCGGCAAUACGUAGGGAGCAAGCGUUGUCCGGAAAUACUGGGGGUAAGGGGAGCGUAGGCGGGAUGGCAAGUUGGGUGUUAAAUCUACCGGCUAAACUGGUAGUCGCACUCAAAACUGGUAUUCUUGAGUGAAGUAGAGGCAGGCAGAAUUCCUAGUGUAGCGGUGAAAUGCGUAGAUAUUAGGAGGAACACCGGUGGCGAAGGCAGCCUGCUGGGCUUUUACUGACGCUGAGGCUCGAAAGUGUGGGGAGCAAACAGGAUUAGAUACCCUUGUAGUC